UCUCUCUCUUUUUUUUUUUUUUGAGUCUCAAUCGUGUGGACAUCACUGGGAAUGGAGGGAAAUAACUGACUGUAUGAUCGUUGCUUUUUAAGUUUCAAACUGACAUUCCAGGCGGGCUGUGCCUGAGUGAGCAUCUGUCUUCAGAAUUUCACAGUGGGUUCCUGGGAAGGUGGAAGCCUCUCCCUGAUGGGUGAAGUGAGGAGCAGGAGGGGACCGACACGACAGAGGUGUGCAGCCUCCAGCAUCUCCUCCUUUGUGAACUGGAUCCCCCCAAGGAGACUACGAGAUGAAAACUUCUGAGCCCGGGAGCGAGUGGCCAGCAGGUUGCAGACGUCAGGUGAUGGCCACCAGCCAUCAUGGAACACGCCCCCACAAGACACACAGCAGAGGUGCCACCUGGACCUCCCACCCUGUCAUCUCAAUGCCUUGGACCCCUGGCCAGGAGACGUGGGGAUGGCACCCACCUGGGCACCCAGCUACUCAUUUGCUGUCUCACCAAUGAGGAGAAAGAAGAACACAGCUCUAUAUGAUGGAUCUGUGAAAUGUUCCAUGAAUAUCUCUGCCCAGAGUGCAACAAUGAGGCCACUAAUUGAAUAAUUCCAACAACCCUGUGGCAUCAUGUAAGUAGGCUGUCCAUGUGUAGGGGUGGGUGGCUCUGUGGAAAAGCUUCCUUUGUGAAGGAGGGUGGAUUGGGCUUAAGAUUCUACCAAUUCUAAGAGUCUGUGAUUUGCUUCUUUUUUUACAGCCUGGCUAUAUUUAGAUCAAUAAAUUAUAUUCAAGAUGGACUCACCAAUUAUUUCUUCAAUGAGUUAUUUCAUUCAAAAGUUAUUGAGAGAGGAGUUCCCAUUGUGGCUCAGUGAAUUAAGGACCCAACAUUGUCUCUGUGAGGGAUUGAUCCAUGGCCUUGCUCAGUGGGUUAAGGACCUGGUGUUGCUGCAAGCUGUGGUGCAGGCAUACAGCUGCAGCUGUAUUUCAACCCCUAUCCCAGAAACUUCCAUAUGAGGCAGGUACAGGCAUAAAAA